UUUUAUCAUUCUGAACUGAAGCUUCAAUUCAGCUUCACCUUCUUUUAUUUCAUACUUAUAAUGAGUUUCUUUCUGUUAAACCUCAUGUUGCUGCAACCUGAAUGCCAAUUCAUUCGUUUGGCCCUUAUCUAACAUGUUCCUUUAAUUCUGUUCCUGCUUACAUAUUAAAAUCUGGUUUUUAUCUAUAGUUUGAUUAUUUGAUGGGCUUGCUUGUUGAGUGUUUGAUAAAAUGACCCCAAGGGACUGGUUGACACGACUAGGAUUUAAAUGCAAUCAUAUUUGAUUGAGAGAUGGUAUAUUGGCCACUUCAGUUCCUUGUUAAAGAAUAAUUACUGUAAAAAAUUACGAAUCUUAAUGAUACAGAGGCUUCUGUUCUGAUCAAUGUUUUGUUAUUGGGAAGUCUAUGUUCUUUUUAUUUUUCUAGUUUGCUUAGAUAGAAGGGUCUAUAUAUUGUAUACAAUUUGCUGGCUUCUCGCGGGAGUGUGAACAUGUUUGGAUGCAUUUUUCUAAAAGCACUUCUAAGAGAAAAAAUAAGAAGAGAAAAAGAAAAUGAAUUUCUUCAUAAAUUAAAAUGAGUUCUCAAUUAGCUAAUUUAUAGAGGCUCUCUUAUAUAGCUUCUCUAAAAGAUGAGAGCACAUCUACAAAUUAGCUAAUGGUUAAUGGUUAACUAAUAGAAGACUUUUUUUACCUUAUGGAGAAGCUCAUUUUAUUUUUUCUUCUUAUAGAAAUACUUCUAGAGAAGUUUACCCAUACCUAAUUAGAUAACUUCUUCUAUAAGCUAAAAUUAGCGUAUACAUAAGUUAAUUUGUAAAAACUCUCUCGUAUUAGUUUCACCAAAACCUAAUGGUAAUUUAUGGAUGAGUUAAUUUUAGCUUAUAAAAGAAGUUUAUUUCAUUUUUCCUUCUUAUCUUCUUUUCUUUUUAGUGCUUUAUGGAAAAAAUUAUCCAAACAUGGCCUAUAUCCUAGUUCUUGUUAUGAGACAAUAUUUCCAGGGGAAAUCUGAAAUGUGACUUCUCUGAAUUUGACUUUUUAAAGGAAAUAAAACUGUUUAAUAGAGACCAUAGUUGCAUAUAUUGAGAUAAAUUUAUAUUUUAUAAAAUAUGUCCUGAUAGCUUCUGCUGCUGCAUUAGCUUUGUGAUAAUGAAGCUUGUCUUUGUCCAUUUUGAUUCUUAAUGUGCAUAACAAACCUGUCUCGUAUAUUGUGUGGCUAUUGUCAUGUAGUUAUUUAAAAAUUAAAAAUUAUCAUAGGCAGAAUUCUACUAAAAAAAAUAAAACAAGUAGUUUCCACAACUUGCAAUAUCAGCAGCAUCAGGAGAUAUUUCGUUCCUUGCAUAUACUUGAUUCCACCCUACUAGCCAAUUAGGUAUCAACUUUAUACUUUUCUGCACUUACAAUGAUUAUUUCUUUUAUCCUGUUUGAUUUUCAUUUUACAUCAACCACUUUUAAGUUAGUAAUCUGUAAUUGCCAUUUCUCAAGUGCCUUCUAACUGUUUGAGUAAAUUCCGCUUUAUCACAUGGUCUUUUUUGUUUGCUUGUUUGCAUUGCAAUCCCAGGCACAUUGAUGCAAAGUAACUUUCUGAUAUGCUUACUGUUAUAUUAAAGUUAGAGCCAUUCUAGUGGACAUCUUUCUUAUGCACACUUGCACAGUAUGUUGAGGCAUUAGCUGUUAAUUACCAGGGAUAUUUGUGUCAGGUAGCUAACACAAUGUCACCGAGGUAUUUCUUAGGCUAUUCUGAUGGUGAGGUCUUGAGAUCUGAUGCAAAACCUUGUUCUAGGCUAAUGAGGCACACAGAUGCAAUCUUUAGUGUUGGUGGAGUAUUGGGAUUUUGAGUCCUUUGUCGAAUGCACUGUGGUCCUCGAAUUACAAAUCCUAGGAGGCUUCGUAGGGCAGCAUGUGCGCUGUAACUGCGAACAAUAAAAAGUAGCGACUGCUAUUGUCACCCCCUUUCUUUUUUCCCCACUAAUUAAUAUCAAAAAGGGAAAAUGAUUCUUUCUCGCCCGGGAAAUGGACCAGCGAUAUUGAAAUCAUAUCACUCUGAUAACUUUAUAAUGUACUUGCUGAGGUUGGUUGCAAAUAUCUCGCAUAUGUAAGUUUUAUGGUAUGGAUGACAUUUGUUGGCACAUCACAAAUGGAAAAUUUGGCUAAUUACUCCAACUAUUCUUAUAUGGCAAUAACGAUGCUAACUUAUUUAA